AAUUACUCAACACAAAAGCAUGCGGUGGAUGCCUUGGUCGAAAGUACCGAUGAAGGACGUACAAGGCAACGAUAUUCUGCGGGGAGCUGCCUAGAAGCUUUGAUCCGCAGGUUUCCGAAUGGAGCAAUCCAUCCUUUUAGGAUACCGUUAAGUAAAUUCAUAGCUUAACGGAGGGUACGCGCUGAACUGAAACAUCUAAGUAAGCGCAGGAAAAGAAAUCAACAGAGAUUCCCUUAGUAGUGGCGAGCGAAAAGGGAAGAGCCCAAACCAUUAGUCCCUAUUUUGAGCAAUCAGAAUAUACUUUUGGGGUUGCGAGGCGGCAGUAGCGAGUAGCAAGGAUAACUGAAAAGACUGGAAAGUCUUGUCAAAGAGGGUGAUAACCCCGUAAGUGAAAUCUAAACUACCGUGGCCGGUUCCUCAAGUAGCCCGAGACACGUGUAAUCUCGGGUGAAUCUGCGAAGACCUCUUCGUAAGGCUAAAUAUACUUUCGGACCGAUAGUGAACUAGUACCGUGAGGGAAAGGUGAAAAGAAGAGCGAAACGCUCAGUGAAAUAGUACCUGAAACCGUAUGUUGUCAAGCUGUGAAACUUGUGCAUGGCACAAGAAAUUUCAAUAACCAAUAACCAAUAACCAAAUAAAAAUUUUGGUGAUUGGAAUUUUGAAUUUGGAGCUUCUUGCGCUGUGCGCAAGGAUCGCGUGCUUAUUGAAGAAUGAACCGGUGAGUUAUUUUGUACUUCAAGUCUAAGUGCUAAAAGGCAAAUAGG
rnacentral:rRNA from 1 species